rnacentral:rRNA from 1 species
CACGUAGGGCGCAAGCGUUUGUCCGGAAUUAUUGGGCGUAAAGGGCUCGUAGGCGGUCUGUUGCGUCGGGAGUGAAAACUUACAGCUUAACUGUGAGCGUGCUUCCGAUACGGGCAGACUUGAGGUAUUCAGGGGAGAACGGAAUUCCUGGUGUAGCGGUGAAAUGCGCAGAUAUCAGGAGGAACACCGGUGGCGAAGGCGGGUCUCUGGGCCGUAACUGACGCUGAGGAGCGAAAGCAUGGGGAGCGAACAGG